rnacentral:tRNA from 41 species
GGAGAGUUGUCCGAGCUGGCCGAAGGAGCACGCCUGGAAAGUGUGUAGGCGCUUUAUCGCGUCUCGAGGGUUCGAAUCCCUCACUCUCCA